ensembl:lncRNA
AUAGUGGUCCAGCAUAUACAAAGAGAAAGAUGCUAAAUAUAAGCAGACUAAGUUAUACAGAUGCUCAUCUCUGCCAAAACUCACGUGACUACAACGCAAACACAGCAUCACAGUUCAUCACUUUACUUUAAUUGCUUCUUCACUCUGGAUGUAAAGACACACAGGAGUCACUGAUUAUUUCUCUUAACAUGCUACACAUUUCUUUUAAUAUUUCUAUGUUUUGUAGUAACCAACAGAAGCUGAAGGAAUGGCAGACAUUACUCAGACACCUGUGAACACUGAGCAGUGGUUGGAGUCCAAGACAGUGAAAUCAUCUUUAUUAUACUUCUGACUGAACUAGCAAGGAGCAUUAGAGACAAUGAGAAAAACUCAAAAGAAGAUACUUUGAAGAAUGCUGGUAAUCAAACCCAACAAGUUUGUCAGGUGCAGAAAUAAAAGCUCCCAAACAAAGAUGUCACCGGAUUAAGAUGUGGAAAGACAUGUUACACCACAACAACUAUAAAUCCUGAGUAAUUUGAAUAUGGGCAACAACCAAGAAAAAUUACCCAUUGAUUUAGUCAGAAAUGA